GGAGAGAUGGCCGAGUGGUUUAAGGCGCACGCUUGGAAAGCGUGUAAAGGGGAAACUCUUUCAUGGGUUCGAAUCCCAUUCUCUCCGCCA
rnacentral:tRNA from 1 species